rnacentral:rRNA from 1 species
ACAUGCAAGUCGGGCGGUAACACUUCGGGUGACGAGCGGCGGACGGGUGCGUAACGCGUGAGAAUCUGCCUUUUAGUGGGGGACAACCCGAGGAAACUCGGGCUAAUACCGCAUAUGUCCUACGGGAUAAAGCAGGGGACCUUCGGGCCUUGCGCUAAAAGAUGAGCUCGCGUGAGAUUAGCUUGUUGGUGGGGUAAAAGCCUACCAAGGCAACGAUCUCUAGCUGGUCUGAGAGGAUGAUCAGCCACACUGGGACUGAGACACGGCCCAGACUCCUACGGGAGGCAGCAGUGGGGAAUAUUGGACAAUGGGGGCAACCCUGAUCCAGCAAUUCCGCGUGUGUGAAGAAGGCCUUCGGGUUGUAAAGCACUUUCAGUAGGGAAAAUGGGAUUUUGUAUUAAUAGUAUAGAGUCUUGA